rnacentral:rRNA from 1 species
UAGCUGCGGUAUAUUGACCGUACUAAGGUAGCAUAUAAUUAGGUUAUUUAUUGUGAUCUUGAAUGAAUGGUUUGACGUAAGAAUAGCUUUCUUAUUUUGUUUUGUGAAUUUAAAUUAUUAGUAAAAAUGCUUAUGUUUUUAUUAGACGAGAAGACCCUAUUAAGUUUUAUAUUAAUUGUUUAUAUUUUUAGUGUUUAAUUGGUGAAUAAUAUUUUGUUGGGGCGAUAGUUAAUGGAAAUGCAUUAUGAAUUUUAUACUUUUAUAAAAGAUUGUGAACCAUUAAUAAUGAUUAAUAGGAUUAAUUACUAUAGGGAUAACAGCAUAAUUAUAUUGAAGAGUUCUUAUUGAUAAUAUAGUUUAUGACCUCGAUGUUGAAUCAAAUUUUCUUAAAGAUGAAGAUGUUUUUUUAGGUAGUCUGUUCGACUAUUGAAUAUUUACG